AUUGAACGCUGGCGGCAUGCCUUACACAUGCAAGUCGGACGAGUGGCGAACGGGUGAGUAACGCAUCGGAACGUACCGGGUAGUGGGGGAUAACUGUUCGAAAGGACAGCUAAUACCGCAUACUAUUCGAGCGGCCGAUGUUGGAUUAGCUGGUUGGCGGGGUAAAGGCCCACCAAGGCGACGAUCAGUAGCGGGUCUGAGAGGAUGACCAGCCACACUGGAACUGAGACACGGCCCAGACUCCUACGGGAGGCAGCAGUGGGGAAUAUUGGACAAUGGGCGCAAGCCUGAUGCAGCCAUGCCGCGUGUCUGAAGAAGGCCUUCGGGUUGUAAAGUACUUUUGUCAGGGAAGCGGUACCUGAAGAAGAAGCACCGGCUAACUACGUGCCAGCAGCCGCGGUAAUUC
rnacentral:rRNA from 1 species